rnacentral:rRNA from 1 species
AACGAACGCUGGCGGCAGGCCUAACACAUGCAAGUCGAACGGUUCCUUCGGGAAUAGUGGCGCACGGGUGCGUAACGCGUGGGAAUAUACCCUUCACUGCGGAAUAAUGUUUGGAAACGAACACUAAUACCGCAUAAUGACUCCGGUCCAAAGAUUUAUCGGUGAAGGAUUAGCCCGCGUCUGAUUAGUUUGUUGGUGAGGUAACGGCUCACCAAGACGAUGAUCAGUAGGGGGUCUGAGAGGAUGAUCCCCCACACUGGUACUGAGACACGGACCAG